rnacentral:rRNA from 1 species
AUGGGCCUCUUUGACGGCCUCUUCCCCGGCCGGCGCGACGACGGCACUGGGAGGAUGGCGUCGGCGUCCGCGUCCACGUCGGCGCAGCAGUGCGGCGGCGACAUCUCCGCGCUCUCGCCCACGGCCGCCUCCGUCGUCCGCCGAUGCGCGCAGAUCGCGGGCGUGCCGGUGGAGCAGCUGGUGCGGCGGCUGGAGCCGGACGAGCAGCCGCCGCUCGCCUACGCCAGGAGCAUCGUGGAGUACUGCUCCUACGUCGCCCUUCGCGCCGAGACGAGGCGCCGCCACGACCACCUCGGCGACAGGGAGUUCCACUCCCUCACCUACGACAUGAUGCUCGCCUGGGAGGCGCCCGACCACGACACCGAAGCAGAGCUCCAGAAAACGGCGUUCAGCUGGGGCGACGGCGCCGACGACGAUGACGACGACGGCGGGUCCAUAUUCUACUCCAGCCCCACCAAGACGGCCAUUCAGGUUGACGGGAGGAGGACGGUCGGGCCGGAGGCGUUCGCGAAGAUCGCCCCGGCCUGCCCGGCCAUGGCGCACGCGAUCACCGUCCGCAACCUCUUCGACGCGCUCACCAACUCCACCGGCGGCCGCCUCCACUUCCUCAUCUACCACAAGUACCUCAAGAGCCUGGACAACGUGCUGAGGUCGACGAAAUGCAUAUCGGGCGGGCACAAGGCGCCGGCGCUGGACCUCUGCGACGGCGAGGUGGUGCUCGACAUCUUCGGCGCCGCCACGACGCAGCCGGUCCUGCAGCACAUCGGCACGUCCACGUGGCCUGGGAGGCUCACGCUGACGAACCACGCCCUCUACUUCGAGGCCAUCGGCGUCGACUUCUCCUACGGCGAUGCCGUCGUGUACGACCUCACCAAGGACCUGAAGCAGUGCGUGAAGCGCGAGUCCACGGGGCCAUGGGGCGCCCACCUGUUCGACAAGGCCGUCAUGUACAAAUCUAGUUCCAUAAAUGAGCCGGUGUUCUUCGAGUUUCCCCAAUUCAAGGGCCACAGCCGGCGAGACUACUGGUUCGCGGUGAUCAAGGAGGUGCUGCACGCGCACAAGUUCAUCAGGAGGUACCGGCUGGUGGGCUUCCAGAAGGCGGAGGCGCUCGCCGUCGCGACGCUCGGGAUCCUCCGGUACCGCGCCGUGAAAGAGGGGUUCCACAUACUGCCGGCAUACUUCAAGACCACCCUGGCUUUCAACUUGGCAGAGAAGCUGCCCAAGGGGGACAAGAUAUUGGAGGCAUUGUAUGGCCAGCUGCAGGAACACUGCUCGAGGUUUAGGGGAGGCGAUGACCUGGCAGCUCAGGGCAGUUCCGACGAGCUGGCACUCGCGGAUCCAUUUCCGCUGUCGGCAUUUACGCUCGUGCGGAUGGGGCUGCUGACGCUCAGGAAGGAGGACAAUCCCGAGGAAAGGGAUUUCGCCGUCGGGGAUGUGCAGAUUGGAAGGACCAGCUCCGUGCAGAUGGCUCUGGAGCGAUCUGUUGGGUAUUCCGGUAGAGUGGAAGCCGCACGCGCGACGCUCGAUCAGGUCAAGGUGGAGGACAUUGACACCAAUGUGGCUGUCCUAAAGGAACUAGUGUUUCCUUUGAUUGAAAUAGGCAAAAGGCUUGUCUUCCUGGCUGAGUGGGAAGAUCCACUUAAGUCAUAUGUUUUCUUGCUCUGUUUCCUCUACAUAGUUUACAGAGGCUUGAUAUGGUACAUAUUUCCCGGCUUUUUGGUCGGCUCUACCGCUUUCAUGCUAUGGAGCAAACACCAUGGCAACAGGCAUUUCAUCGAAGCAUUCGAAGUCACAACCCCUCCUCGGCGACGUACCGUCGAACAACUUCUAGCUCUGCAGGAAGCCAUCUCACAGUUGGAGGCACACGUCCAAGCUGGGAACAUUUUUCUCCUCAAGCUUCGGUCCCUCAUGCUCGCAGCGUUUCCUCAGGUUAAUCCUCUACCCCAAGCCUAUACUAUGAUUCAGCCCAUUCUGUAUGAAAUCUUGUGUAACUUAGUUUAUCUGACAACUGUUACAUGGUACCAGAGCACGAACAAAGUGGCAACGACAAUGCUCGUGGCUGCUGCAGUAUUUGCGUUUAUGCCUUUCCGGAUCAUAUUCGUGCUCAUCCUGUUGGAGGCUUACACGAGGCAUAUGCCACUGAGGAAGAAGAGCAGCGAGAAGCUGGUGAGGAGGUUGAGGGAGUGGUGGCUACGGAUCCCCGCUGCACCCGUGCAGCUCUUGAGGCCUCAUGACACCAGAAGAUGGAGGUCGAGGCGGAGAUAA